rnacentral:rRNA from 1 species
AGCAGCCGCGGUAAUUCCAGCUCCAAUAGCGUAUAUUAAAGUUGUUGCAGUUAAAAAGCUCGUAGUUGAAUUUCGGGAUCAGUACGCUGGUCAUGCCUUUGGUAUGCACUGGUGUCACUGGUUUCUCCCUUCUGAAGAUCCGUGAUGUCAUUAAUUUGGUGUCGCGGGGAAUCAGGACUGUUACUUUGAAAAAAUUAGAGUGUUUAAAGCAGGCUCACGCUUGAAUACAUUAGCAUGGAAUAAUGAAAUAGGACGUUUGACCCUAUUUUGUUGGUUUCUAGGAUCGAGUAAUGAUUAAUAGGGAUAGUUGGGGCAUUAGUAUUCAAUUGUCAGAGUGAAAUUCUUGGAUUAUUGAAGACUAACUACUGCGAAAGCAUUUGCCAAGGAUGUUUUANAUUAAUCAAGACGAAAGUUAGGGGAUCGAAGACGAUCAGAUACCGUCGUAGUCUUAACCAAUAAACUAU